UACAGAGGUCCCAAGCGUUGUUCGGAUUCACUGGGCGUAAAGGGAGCGUAGGUGGAUAUUUAAGUGGGAUGUGAAAUACUCGGGCUUAACCUGAGUGCUGCAUUCCAAACUGGAUAUCUAGAGUGCAGGAGAGGAAAGUAGAAUUCCUAGUGUAGCGGUGAAAUGCGUAGAGAUUAGGAAGAAUACCAGUGGCGAAGGCGACUUUCUGGACUGUAACUGACACUGAGGCUCGAAAGCGUGGGGAGCAAACAGG
rnacentral:rRNA from 1 species